AAUGGUAGAGCGGCCGACUGCAGAUCGGCAGGUUCAUGGUUCAAUUCCGUGCGCGCCCU
rnacentral:tRNA from 1 species